CAUUUAACGUCUUUGUCUCUAAUUUAGAUUAUUUUAUCUGAGCACAGGAGAAAGAACGAACUGCUUUAGCCUGCGGCUUCUCUGGGAUGGUGACGGAAUUCAGGAAGAAUGGGCCGAUUUUCCCUGCUGCCAAUGGCAAGCUCCCUUGCUUCUGAAGCUGAAGGAACGAUGAACGCCAGGAUCCGCUCCCUCCCUUCUGCUGCUGCCGCCUAAGUGUGCUGUGUCCUUUCCAUCAUCAACAUUUGAUGGUGCGCAUUAACUCAUAAAUAAGGCAAUUCUGUUCUGAACCAUCAUUGAAAGUAUACUUGCUGUAGAGGUCAAAGAGUUAAGGAAGGCAUUUUUUUUUACACAAGGUAAGAAAUGCAUAGGAAGGCUGGUAAAUUAAUUUAGUAUUACCUUUUAUAUAGAUUUUACUUAACCUCUCCUUUUUAUUCUUAGCCUAGGUUAUAGAUCAUGAUAAUAGAAACACGUUUUUAAAUACUUAAAUGAUUAAUUCCUUGCUAAAGAAAAAGUAGCUUAAAAUUAAAUAUAAUCCUGUACUAAUUUAUUUUCAAAAAGCUAAAAGCCUACAAAGGUGUAAUUUUUGGCAAAGUAACAUUAUAAGAAUAUAUUCAGCAUAAAAUAUUUUUUCGGUAUCCACUGGGUAGAAUUUAUGAAAUAUAAUUUAUUUCAUCUUAAAUUUCAGAUUAGUGCUGUGAAUGUAGAAACCUAAGGAAUUUUGUAUAGCAGCAUAACAACUGUAUGAUACUGAUUUUAAGUACUAUGUAAGAAACCAGAUGUCUACUUGAGGUGGAAGAAUUAGGUAGGUGGGCCACAGGUCAGAGGGGACCACUAUUAAAUAACAUUGUUGUUUGCUCAGUUGAAAAAAGUUGAACUUUUGGCCAAACUACUUGUCACUGACAUCACUGCUCUAAGAAGCAGACAUUUAUGCUUUAGAUCUCCUGAUGCAGCUCUGGACUCCCAGGGGUCUCAUGUCUUAGUCCAAGACACUGAGUCCUAAAAU
rnacentral:lncRNA from 1 species